UACGUAGGGUGCGAGCGUUGUCCGGAAUUAUUGUGCGUAAAGAUCUCGUAGGCGGUUUGUCGCGUCUGCUGUGAAAGUCCGGGGCUCAACUCCGGAUCUGCGGUGGGUACGGGCAGACUAGAGUGCAGUAGGGGAGACUGGAAUUCCUGGUGUAGCGGUGAAAUGCGCAGAUAUCAGGAGGAACACCGAUGGCGAAGGCAGGUCUCUGGGCUGUAACUGACGCUGAGGAGCGAAAGCAUGGGGAGCGAACAGG
rnacentral:rRNA from 1 species